rnacentral:rRNA from 1 species
CCUACGGGAGGCAGCAGUGGGGAAUAUUGCACAAUGGGGGGAACCCUGAUGCAGCGACGCCGCGUGAGUGAAGAAGUAUUUCGUGAUGUAAAGCUCUAUCAGCAGGGAAGAAGAUGACGGUACCUGAUCAAGAAGCCCCGGCUAACUACGUGCCAGCAGCCGCGGUAAUACGUAGGGGGCAAGCGUGAUCCGGAUUUACUGGGUGGAAAGGGAGCGUAGACGGCAGGGCAAGUCUGGAGUGAAAGCCCGGGGCCCAACCCCGGGACUGCUUGGGAAACUGCCAUGCUGGAGUGCGGGAGAGGUAAGCGGAAUUCCUAGUGGAGAGGUGAAAUGCGUAGAGAUUAGGAGGAACACCAGUGGCGAAGGCGGCUUACUGGACAGUAACUGACGUUGAGGCUCGAAAGCGUGGGGAGCAAACAGGAUUAGAUACCCGGGUAGUC